UUUCUUUUUGGUUUUUUCAUUCUCCUUUUUUCUGUUCUUAUGGGGGUUCUAGAUCUGCAUGGCGAUAAGCUUCAGAUCUACGCUUGCUUUUUCCCUCAUCAACCAUCUUCACUUUCCCCCUGUGUUUUUCUUUUAUCCCUAACUUCCCGAGAAACAAACAGAACGUAAAGCAUUUUAUGUAUUAAAAAUUGUUCUUUUGUUCUUUCUUUUCAACAACUUAAAAUAAGCAUUCUUUUUCUCUUUGCUUUUUCCAUGUUAGAUCCCUUUUACAAAUUAAAUCUGGCCUUUUGUCAAUUGUUUUCAAUUCACUUUUAUUCCUUCUCUUCAUACGAAAAAAAAAAACCCUCUUUUUGUUCUCUAUAUCCACGCCUAGAAAAUUCAAGUAGCGUUUCUCACUGACGCAUCUCUCGCAUGCAGAUCCAAACUCUGAUUCGUGCC
rnacentral:misc_RNA from 1 species